rnacentral:rRNA from 1 species
AUAUGGCUCAGAACGAACGCUGGCGGCGAUGGAUAGGCAUGCAAGUGAACGAACUCCUUCGGGAGUGAGUAGCGGAAGGGUGAGGAACGCGUGAGUAAUCUGCCCCCCAGUUGGAACAACAGUUGGAAACGGCUGCUAAUACCGAAUGUGGCUGGAAUCCCGCAUGAGAUUCCGGCUAAAGAUUUAUCGCUGGGGGAUGAGCUCGCGUCCCAUUAGGUAGUUGGUGAGGUAACGGCUCACCAAGCCGACGAUGGGUAGCUGGUCUGAGAGGAUGGUCAGCCACACUGGGACUGAGACACUGCCCAGACUCCUACGGGAGGCUGCAGUCGAGAAUCUUGGGCAAUGCGCGAAAGCCGUGACCCAGCAAUGCCGCGUGUAUGAUGAAGGCCCUCGGGUCGUAAAGUACUGUCUCCCGUGACGAAAAAUGACGGUAGCGGGGAAGGAAGCCACGGCUAACUACGUGCCAGCAGCCGC